GCAAACACAACCAUUUGAAGGUACCAACUAUAUCUAUGAAGACCUUUUUCACAGCUGCUAGCACGUCUUUAUUUGUUUUUGCUACUAACUAUAUUGUUCUUUUUACAGAGGUUCUUCACUGAUUUUGGAGAUUCUUUAAAUGAAUAAUUGGCUUUGGCUUCUUGACGGGUUAUGGAGGUGAAUCAUAACGGUUCAGAUCCAAUUUUGAUGGCAGGUAACAAAGAAAGAAACUAAAGGGGAAAAAAGAAAAGAAAAAAGGAUCGAACUAAAUUAUUCUUCUUACAUCAUUACUUCCUUAAGGUUCAGGAGGUUUCUGUUUGCUGUUUUUCCUACUAACUAUAUAUUGUUCUUUCAGGUUAUUUAGAUGAAUGAUUGGCUUUGGCUUCGACACGGGUGCAAAAAGUGAAUCACAUCAGUUCCACUUCAAUUUGCAUUACUACUCAAUUACAUAAGGAGGGACACUUAUCUGCACACAGAAGCAAACGCCAACGACUCAUGGACCAAAUGGAGCGUGUGCAUGCUCGGCACCGACAAUGGCGAGAGUCAAUGAGUUCUUCACAACGUCAAGCAUACUUGGCACGACGACGCGCAAUAGCUCAAGAAAAGCGACCCGUGGUGGAAACUAGCCCAAGUAACAGAGCUGAACAAGCUCCAGGCACAAGUUCAAGAAUUUCUUCAAAUUCCAACAACCCCGAACAAGACUACUCAAGGGUUCGCUUAACUCGCAUAAGACAAAUGGCACGUUCGAAUAGAUCAGAAACAAGCGAUGGAGUUGACGAAUUUCUACUCGCUAUGGUGAGCUUAAUAUAUUAAACUUAUUGAUAGCGAAUCAUGUGUAUGUAUUGUUGUAAACAACUUUUGAUAAGGAUCAAUAUUUUUACUUAUAUCCAGAGUUACCUAAUGCUACCAUGAAUAAUCAUGAGGAGCAUAACAACAACAAUGUGGCCAUGAAUAAUGAUGAGGAACAUACCAACAACAUUGAGGAAGACAAUGAAAGUGAGCCCAUGAAUAAUCAUGAGGAGCGUCGUAACAACAUUCAUCAAGUACGGCGUAUGAGGAGGGCAAGAAUAAAUAAUAAUUUUGCUAGAGAUUUUCAUGAGGAAAUGGGUGUCCAUGAUUGUCAAUUGCCCCCACUAAAAACAUGCCCAUAUUGCAAUGCAUUGUUGUUUAAUCGAGAGACCUUUAGUUUGUGUUGCUUGAAGGGGAAUAUUGUUCUACCACUAAUACAGUCUCCCCCAGAAAUGGUUCACCUCUUUUCUGAUCAAACGGAUGAGGGCAGAAAAUUCAGACAAAAUAUUAGGGCCUACAACAAUGUGUUUGCAUUCACUUCAAUGGGCGUACAUG